GCAAGUCGUACCAGCGUUACACGCUGUAGAAUGACGUGCUUGCACUGAUUUCAACAAUGAAGCGAGUGGCGAACUGGUGAGUAACACGUGGGAAAUCUGCCCAGAAGCAGGGGAUAACACUUGGAAACAGGUGCUAAUACCGUAUAACAACAAAAUCCGCAUGGAUUUUGUUUGAAAGGUGGCUUCGGCUAUCACUUCUGGAUGAUCCCGCGGCGUAUUAGUUAGUUGGUGAGGUAAAGGCCCACCAAGACGAUGAUACGUAGCCGACCUGAGAGGGUAAUCGGCCACAUUGGGACUGAGACACGGCCCAAACUCCUACGGGAGGCAGCAGUAGGGAAUCUUCCACAAUGGACGAAAGUCUGAUGGAGCAAUGCCGCGUGAGUGAAGAAGGGUUUCGGCUCGUAAAACUCUGUUGUUAAAGAAGAACACCUUUGAGAGUAACUGUUCAAGGGUUGACGGUAUUUAACCAGAAAGCCACGGCUAACUACGUGCCAGCAGCCGCGGUAAUACGUAGGUGGCAAGCGUUGUCCGGAUUUAUUGGGCGUAAAGCGAGCGCAGGCGGUUUUUUAAGUCUGAUGUGAAAGCCUUCGGCUUAACCGGAGAAGUGCAUCGGAAACUGGGAGACUUGAGUGCAGAAGAGGACAGUGGAACUCCAUGUGUAGCGGUGGAAUGCGUAGAUAUAUGGAAGAACACCAGUGGCGAAGGCGGCUGUCUAGUCUGUAACUGACGCUGAGGCUCGAAAGCAUGGGUAGCGAACAGGAUUAGAUACCCUGGUAGUCCAUGCCGUAAACGAUGAGUGCUAAGUGUUGGAGGGUUUCCGCCCUUCAGUGCUGCAGCUAACGCAUUAAGCACUCCGCCUGGGGAGUACGACCGCAAGGUUGAAACUCAAAGGAAUUGACGGGGGCCCGCACAAGCGGUGGAGCAUGUGGUUUAAUUCGAAGCUACGCGAAGAACCUUACCAGGUCUUGACAUCUUCUGCCAAUCUUAGAGAUAAGACGUUCCCUUCGGGGACAGAAUGACAGGUGGUGCAUGGUUGUCGUCAGCUCGUGUCGUGAGAUGUUGGGUUAAGUCCCGCAACGAGCGCACCCUUAUUAUCAGUUGCCAGCAUUCAGUUGGGCACUCUGGUGAAACUGCCGGUGACAAACCGGAGAAAGGGGGGGAU
rnacentral:rRNA from 1 species